GACUAAGGUUCGAUUCGAGCGCAGCGAGAAAGCGUUGCCGUAGGCAACGACCCGAAGGGCGAAGCGCGCAGCGCUGAGUAAUCCUUCCCCCACCACCA
rnacentral:sRNA from 1 species